CCCGUGGCGUUAGACUGAUGCUGUGAGGCUCCACAGAGGCAGUAACAGUCUACAGCCAUGGACA
rnacentral:pre_miRNA from 1 species